CCAGAAAAUAUCAAUAAACGCAACACAUGGUGGAGCAAAAAGUCACUGGAUACCAUGAACACAAUUCCCCAUUCCAAUUAUGAUAAUGCCGACUUUGAAUUUAACCAGUGUCAAGAUGCUUUAGAAGUGUAUUCAUGUUACGUCAACAAAUGCGUGCAGAGCUUUUUCACGUGCUCUCGACAGUCAGUAUCAGAAGAACUGUUUGGAGCGUGUAAAAUGGUCCACAGAAUGUGCGCGAAAUCCUGUUCGAAGGGCGGAAUGUUGGACGAUCUCAUUCGUUGAAGUGGCACCUCAAUGAUCAAGAACUUCGAACGAAACAAAAACACAUAUUUUACAGACAAAAAACGUCUGCUUUUAUUCUGUUCUAUAGACUUUUGACUUGCGAAGCGUUUUAGGGUUGUAUAUAAUUUGAAAUGUAAACAUAUAAAAAAUACUAAGGGUAUAUAGCAACAAAAAGAAAUGGAUAAAAGCGAAUUUCGAACAGCUGUUUGCUUUUCUGAUUGAAAUAAACAUAACAACAAAACAAUAUGUAUGCUAAUUUGUAGCGCCGAUUUUGAGCAAAUGUUUACCAUUUGUUUAUGCCAUAGCAUACAUAAAUAAAUACGAAAUAAAUAAACAAAUAAACAAU